rnacentral:rRNA from 1 species
UACAGAGGUCUCAAGCGUUGUUCGGAUUCAUUGGGCGUAAAGGGUGUGUAGGUGGCGCGCUAAGUCGGGUGUGAAAUUUCGGAGCUUAACUCCGAAACUGCAUUCGAUACUGGCGUGCUUGAGGACUGGAGAGGAGACUGGAAUUCAUGGUGUAGCAGUGAAAUGCGUAGAGAUCAGGAGGAACACCGGUGGCGAAGGCGGGUCUCUGGGCCGUAACUGACGCUGAGGAGCGAAAGCGUGGGGAGCGAACAGG